rnacentral:rRNA from 1 species
GAUGAACGCUGGCGGUAUGCUUAACACAUGCAAGUCGAACGGUCACUUCGGUGAUAGUGGCGGACGGGUGAGUAACGCGUGAGAAUCUGUCUUCAGGUCGGGGACAACAGUUAGAAAUGACUGCUAAUACCGGAUGUGCCGAGAGGUAAAAGAUUUAUUGCCUGAAAGAGAGCUCGCGUCAGAUUAGCUAGUAGGUGGUGUAAGAGACUACCUAGGCGACGAUCUGUAGCUGGCCUGAGAGGACGAUCAGCCACACUGGAACUGAGACACGGUCCAGACUCCUACGGGAGGCAGCAGUGGGGAAUUUUCCGCAAUGGGCGAAAGCCUGACGGAGCAAUACCGCGCGAGGGACGAAGGCUUUUGGGUCGUAAACCUCUUUUUCUCAAGGAAGACACAGGACGGUACUUGAGGAAUAAGCAUCGGCUAACUCUGUGCCAGCAGCCGCGGUAAU